GGAAAGAUGACUGAGCGGUUUAAAGUGAAGAUCUGCUAAAUCUUUAUAUAGCAGAAACUAUAUCGAAGGUUCGAAUCCUUUUCUUUCCA